UACGUAGGGUGCAAGCGUUGUCCGGAAUUAUUGGGCGUAAAGCGUGCGUAGGUGGUUUGUUAAGUCUGUUGUGAAAGCCCCGGGCUCAACCUGGGAAUGGCAAUGGAUACUGGCAAGCUAGAGUGCGGUAGAGGGUAGUGGAAUUCCCGGUGUAGCGGUGAAAUGCGUAGAGAUCGGGAGGAACACCAGUGGCGAAGGCGGCUACCUGGACCAGCACUGACACUGAGGCACGAAAGCGUGGGGAGCAAACAGG
rnacentral:rRNA from 1 species